UACGUAGGAGACGAGCGUUGUCCGGAAUUACUGGGCGUAAAGCGCGUGUAGGCGGAUGAGCAAGUCUGCUGUGAAAGCUCCUGGCUUAACCGGGAGUGGUCGGUGGAAACUGCUCGUCUGGAGGACGGUAGAGGUAGGUAGAAUUCCCGGUGUAGUGGUGAAAUGCGUAGAGAUCGGGAGGAAUACCUGUGGCGAAGGCGGCCUACUGGCCGGACCUGACGCUGAGACGCGAAAGCGUGGGGAGCAACAGG
rnacentral:rRNA from 1 species